GAUGAACGCUGGCGGCGUGCCUAAUACAUGCAAGUCGAGCGAACAGACGAGGAGCUUGCUCCUCUGACGUUAGCGGCGGACGGGUGAGUAACACGUGGAUAACCUACCUAUAAGACUGGGAUAACUUCGGGAAACCGGAGCUAAUACCGGAUAAUAUAUUGAACCGCAUUGUUCAAUAGUGAAAGACGGUUUUGCUGUCACUUAUAGAUGGAUCCGCGCCGCAUUAGCUAGUUGGUAAGGUAACGGCUUACCAAGGCAACGAUGCGUAGCCGACCUGAGAGGGUGAUCGGCCACACGGGAACUGAGACACGGUCCAGACUCCUACGGGAGGAAGCAGUAGGGAAUCUUCCGCAAUGGGCGAAAGCCUGACGGAGCAACGCCGCGUGAGUGAUGAAGGUCUUCGGAUCGUAAAACUCUGUUAUUAGGGAAGAACAAAUGUGUAAGUAACUAUGCACGUCUUGACGGUACCUAAUCAGAAAGCCACGGCUAACUACGUG
rnacentral:rRNA from 1 species